UUUUAUUGAAAGUCAUCAGGACAGGGUCCUGUGCCACCACUGAAAACUCAACUGGAAAUAAAAUGCUUAUAAUACAACUACAAGGAAAAGAGAAAAAUGUGUGUUUUGAACUGCACAAACAGAACUUGUCUGUCUGAGGUCUCACUUUUGGUGUAACACAACAAAAUGGAAAAGGAAAAAGAGGGGGCCAAGAUUGCAGCUGAACUCAUCAAUACUGGAGUGCAUACAAGUUCCAAAGCUGUCAGCUUCUCCCGUUAGGGGUUGCCACAGUGGAUCAUCUUCUUCCAUGUCUUUCUGUCCUCUGCAUCUACAUCAACUGAAAAUUAUAGAUGAAAGAGAUUAGGGAAUUACUACAAGAGUCUCAAUAAUACUAUGAUUAAAUAAUUAUAAAUAACAAACAGCUUAAACAAUAUUUUUAAUUAGCAUGUUAGCAAGUACUAUGAGAAACUGUGAAAGCCAUUGCCUAGCAACAGGAGGGUUGAUUUACUAAUUAGGGUGUGGCAAAGGACAAGAAUUUGUUAAGAAUAACAGCAUUAUAAGCCUGAUGGCCGACAAUGAUGAGAUGGCUUGCAGAGAAGAGGUCUACCAGCUGACUCCAUUGUGCCAGGGCAAUAAUCUCAUCCUUAAUGGUAGCAAAACCAAGUAGCUGGCUGUAGAAUUCAGAAAACAGAAAGCAAACCACACUGACAUCUACACUGGAGGGGAUGCUAUAGAGUUUACUACAUCUACCUGCCUCCCUGUGAUGCUACUUAAGCUCUGAUUCAAAGCUGACACUCAAAAAAGGUAAUUUCAGGCAAAAUCAACUUAGCUUUGUUCUAAAAUAAAAGCAAAAACAAAUGCAGUGGAUAUUUGAAAAGCGUGAGAAAAGGCUUCUCAAUUUUAGUUUAAUUAAAUGAACAUCACUCUUUCUGUUGCUGCAGAGCACACCUUGGCAGUCACAAGUCCACAUCUUAACGGAAAUUCCUUGGUCUGUGAUUCUGUAAAAGAGCUGAAUAGCCUGAUUUAACAGUAAACAUUCCGUUUUAGUGACCUCAUUCACAGAGAGGUGGCACAGUAGAACAGUGAUGAAUACUAACCCUCACCUAUUCUGUUUCUUUUCUCGGUACCCAAAUGUGGCCA